CAGGCUUUCAGCAACCAAACUACAACCAUAUCCGUUAACAACUUAGACUUUAGAUCAAGUUCUCUUCCCACAAGUUCAGAUUUAGAGCAAACUUUAAAUUAUAAUAGUUAUGUCUAAACUAGAGAGAAAACUCAGAUUUGAAAAUUAGGCAGAGCAACUAUUCAUCAUAUCCAUGCUAGAGUUUUAUUAUUAAGAUUCAGUUUAGCAUAGCCACUUUGUUUAUUUAUUAAGCACACUAAGCAAAAGAUAUAUAUAUAAGCACAAAAAUCUUUAUUUGUUUUUUUUAUAGUGAUGUAUAUUUUAAUAUAGUAUAAGUAUAUAGAUAGAUAGAUAGAAAUACUUAUCGGGAUAAAUGGGGGUGCUCUCCCCAAAGCUGAAUUUUGACGUAAUUUCUUUUGAUGUAGCUAGCAGGUGGCAGAGGUGUAUUUGAAAGUCGGCAGCACCCUGACAGCGAUUAGAAUGUCCUCCGUCUGCUAGUCUUUUUGAUCCUUAAAUUCUGUGGAGCUCAAAUAGAGAACAAAGCUUUGUGGAACUGAUUAGGUGUUAGCUUAAAUAUCUAGCAUUUAUCAUGUUGAGCCUCCUCAAUAAAUGAUACUCUCUAUUUUUAUAUUUUCAUUUUAUAAAGCAGAAAAAAAUAUUUAUUUUAUUUUUAUGCCACCAUAGUGAAUGUACUUAUGGGGUUUAUGCCACUCGUAUACUCACAUGGGGCUUACUGUUUUUUUAACAUUUUUAUUUUCUUUUUAGGAUAGUACGAACAUGAUUGACUAAGCAAACGAUUUGAAAUAAUUGAAAGGAAAAAAGAUAACUACCAAUUUUACCUCUUGUCAAGGCGUUCGGUGUUUUUAAGUCCUCCGAACGGGACUCUCCGUUUUCUCAGUCGUCCUAGAAUUCGUUGGAUGGCGGAGUCAGUACUUCCGGCGGUGCCUCUUCUUUAUGUAUAGUUAUCUUCUCUCUCCACACCUGACUCGGUGCUACGGUCUCCUCUGGAUAAUUCUGUUCAAGCUGUAUGUCUUCAGACCUUACCACUUCUCCUUCAUAGUCUGCCCAUCCGUCCUUGAUGAUUUAUCUCCUCUGGUUGCGGUUGCAUCGUCUUCUUCUUGUCCUGACCUGCUUAGAGUCUUCAGCGAUAUAAUUAGGGUCAGUGAAAUAGCGGCGUACCUUCUCUGAGGGGAAGUGCAAGUUAACUUCUCCGGUUCCAAUGUAGAUGAUUGCUUUAAAGGUGCUGAGGAAAGGUCUUCCAAGGAUGAUGGGUGGAUCGUACUUGUCUUCUCCCAUGUUAAUAACCUGAAAGUCUGUAUGGACAAAAUGAUCGUCUAUUUUGACAGGAACAUCAGUUACUAUACCUUCAACCUUUCAAAAUGUUUGAUCUACCAUCUGGAGCUAAAUGUAUGUCGGUUUUAAGGGCAUGGUUCCGAACAAGAGCCGAUAGGUGACUGCGGCCAUUAUGUUGACGCCCGAUCCGGUGUCGCAAAGUGUAACAUCCCUGAUGUUACGGUUACUAAAACUGGAUCAUGUCAUCAUGAGCAUUGCAUAGCAUAAUGAUUAAGCACCACUUGAUGCACCAACUUAAAACAAGUUUACUUUGGUUGCUUGUGCUUAGGGAACUAAAGUGUGUUUAUAUUGUGUAUUGAAGCUAGUGUGGUUGUGAAAUCCCUUGUGUUGAAGGUUUCCGAUAAAAUAGGGGGGAAACCCUGAUUUUUAAAACCCUAGAUUUGCCCCUUUUGUGUAACUUAAAAACUAUGCAAAAUUUGGGGAUGAGUUCAAAAGCAAAGUUGUAGAUCUUGUCAAGAUGUACAACUUUGGUGUUUUGAGUUUUUGAAGUUUCAAUACAAAAUUCAAAGUAAUUUUGAAAAUACAGA
rnacentral:lncRNA from 1 species